UACGUAGGGCGCAAGCGUUGUCCGGAAUUACUGGGCGUAAAGAGCUCGUAGGUGGUUUGUCGCGUUGUUCGUGAAAACUCACAGCUCAACUGUGGGCGUGCGGCGAUACGGGCAGACUAGAGUACUGCAGGGGAGACUGGAAUUCCUGGUGUAGCGGUGGAAUGCGCAGAUAUCAGGAGGAACACCGGUGGCGAAGGCGGGUCUCUGGGCAGUAACUGACGCUGAGGAGCGAAAGCGUGGGGAGCGAACAGG
rnacentral:rRNA from 1 species